rnacentral:tRNA from 1 species
GGAGCUGUGGCUGAGGGAUAAAGCGCUUGGCUUCCGAACCGGACGUCCCUGGUUCGAAUCCUGGUGAUUUUU